rnacentral:sRNA from 1 species
GCCAGGCAUGGUGAUGCAUGCCUGUAAUCCCAGCAGCCCGGGAGGCUGAGGCGGGCAGAUCUCAAGUUGAAAGCCAACCUCAGCAAGUGAGGCACCAAGCAACUCAUUGAGACCCUAUCUCUA